rnacentral:misc_RNA from 1 species
CGAUUGCUUAUCGUCUUAAUAAUUAUUAUCGCAUCAAUAUGAUUAUUAAUAUAUAAUGUUCUAGUCGUCGAGCGUACUACUUUUACGUUCACGUUUGUUACGGCGUCGGAUGGUGAUCUUGACAUAAUUACUCCCAAGGUUUACCCAUAAUGACACUGAUUCCUCAGAUAAUAUAGACGAUAUUCCAUUUUUAGUCCAGCAGUUCGCAUGUGAAGUGGUGAUACAAAAAAGGAAAAAAAAAAAAAAAACCAGGAUGAAGACUUGGAGGAUUUUUGUAAUCAGCAGCAUUUUUAUAACAGGAUACUGUCAAGAUGUGAAUUUGACUUUUCCCGAACAUUUGAAACUAGGGGUUGCUACCGCGUCUUAUCAGACGGAAGGUGCUUGGAAUGCAAACGGUAUUAUCAAAACCUCCCAUCAAU